UGGGGAAUAUUGCACAAUGGGGGAAACCCUGAUGCAGCGACGCCGCGUGAAGGAAGAAGUGAUCUCGGUAUGUAAACUUCUAUCAGCAGGGAAGAAAAUGACGGUACCUGACUAAGAAGCCCCGGCUAACUACGUG
rnacentral:rRNA from 1 species